rnacentral:rRNA from 1 species
GAGCAACGCCGCGUGAGGGAUGAAGGCCUCUGGGCUGUAAACCUCUUUUAUCAAGGAAGAAGAUCUGACGGUACUUGAUGAAUAAGCCACGGCUAAUUCCGUGCCAGCAGCCGCGGUAAUACGGGAGUGGCAAGCGUUAUCCGGAAUUAUUGGGCGUAAAGCGUCCGCAGGCGGCCUUGUAAGUCUGUCGUCAAAGCGUGGAGCUUAACUCCAUUUAAGCGAUGGAAACUGCAAGGCUAGAGUGUGGUAGGGGCAGAGGGAAUUCCCGGUGUAGCGGUGAAAUGCGUAGAUAUCGGGAAGAACACCAGUGGCGAAGGCGCUCUGCUGGGCCAUAACUGACGCUCAUGGACGAAAGCCAGGGGAGCGAAAGGGAUUAGAUACCCCUGUAGUCCUGGCCGUAAACGAUGAACACUAGGUGUCGCGCGUAUCGACCCGCGCGGUGCCGUAGCUAACGCGUUAAGUUCUCCGCCUGGGGAGUACGCACGCAAGUGUGAAACUCAAAGGAAUUGACGGGGGCCCGCACAAGCGGUGGAGUAUGUGGUUUAAUUCGAUGCAACGCGAAGAACCUUACCAGGGUUUGACAUCCUCGGAACCUUCUGGAAACAGAAGGGUGCCUUCGGGAACCGAGAGACAGGUGGUGCAUGGCUGUCGUCAGCUCGUGUCGUGAGAUGUUGGGUUAAGUCCCGCAACGAGCGCAACCCACGUUUUUAGUUGCCAGCAUUUAGUUGGGCACUCUAGAGAGACUGCCGGUGACAAACCGGAGGAAGGUGUGGAUGACGUCAAGUCAGCAUGCCCCUUACAUCCUGGGCUACACACGUACUACAAUGCUACGGACAAAGAGCAGCCAACCAGCAAUGGUGCGCAAAUCUCGUAAACCGUAGCUCAGUUCAGAUUGCAGGCUGCAACUCGCCUGCAUGAAGGCGGAAUCGCUAGUAAUCGCAGGUCAGCAUACUGCGGUGAAUACGUUCCCGGGCCUUGUACACACCGCCCGUCACACCAUGGGAGUUGGUCACGCCCGAAGUGGUUACCCUAACCGUAAGGAGGGGGACCCCUAAGGCAGGGCUGAUGACUGGGGUGAAGUCGUAACAAGGUAGCCGUACCGGAAGGUG